AGUGAACGCUGGCGGUAGGCCUAACACAUGCCAGUCGAACGGCAGCACAGUAAGAGCUUGCUCUUACGGGUGGCGAGUGGCGGACGGGUGAGGAAUACAUCGGAAUCUACUUUUUCGUGGGGGAUAACGUAGGGAAACUUACGCUAAUACCGGAUACGACCUACGGGUGAAAGCAGGGGAACUUCGGACCUUGCGCGGUUGAAUGAGCCGAUGUGGGAGUAGAUGGUUGGCGGGGUAAAGGCCCACCAAGGGGACGAUACGUGGCUGGUCUGUGAGGAGGGUCACCCACAUUGGAACUGAGACACCGUCCAUACUCCUACGGGAGGGAGCAGUGGGGAAUAUUGGACAAUGGGGGCAAGCCUGAUCCAGCCAUACCGCGUGGGUGAAGAAGGCCCUCGGGUUGUAAAGCCCUUUUGUUGGGAAAGAAAAGCAGCAGGUUAAUACCCCGCUGUUCUGACGGUACCCAAAGAAUAAGCACCGGCUAACUUCGUG
rnacentral:rRNA from 1 species